rnacentral:piRNA from 1 species
UCUGUGGGUGACAAACGUGCC